GACGAACGCUGGCGGCGUGCCUAAUACAUGCGAGUUGAGCGCUGAAGGUUGGUACUUGUACCAACUGGAUGAGCAGCGAACGGGUGAGUAACGCGUGGGGAAUCUGCCUUUGAGCGGGGGACAACAUUUGGAAACGAAUGCUAAUACCGCAUAAAAACUUUAAACACAAGUUUUAAGUUUGAAAGAUGCAAUUGCAUCACUCAAAGAUGAUCCCGCGUUGUAUUAGCUAGUUGGUGAGGUAAAGGCUCACCAAGGCGAUGAUACAUAGCCGACCUGAGAGGGUGAUCGGCCACCUUGGGACUGAGACACGGCCCAAACUCCUACGGGAGGCAGCAGUAGGGAAUCUUCGGCAAUGGACGAAAGUCUGACCGAGCAACGCCGCGUGAGUGAAGAAGGUUUUCGGAUCGUAAAACUCGGUUGGUAGAGAAGAACGUUGGUGAGAGUGGAAAGCUCAUCAAGUGACGGUAACUACCCAGAAAGGGACGGCUAACUACGUG
rnacentral:rRNA from 1 species